UACGUAUGGAGCAAGCGUUAUCCGGAUUUAUUGGGUUUAAAGGGUGCGUAGGUGGUUUCUUAAGUCAGUGGCGAAAGUUUGUCGCUCAACGAUAAAAUUGCCAUUGAAACUGGGGAACUUGAGUAUAUUUGAGGUAGGCGGAAUGCGUAGUGUAGCGGUGAAAUGCAUAGAUAUUACGCAGAACUCCAAUUGCGAAGGCAGCUUACUAAACCAUAACUGACGCUGAGGCUCGAAAGCGUGGGGAGCAAAC
rnacentral:rRNA from 1 species